rnacentral:tRNA from 1 species
GUCUUGCUGGUGGAAUGGUAGACACGAUCGAUUCAAAAUCGAUAGCUUUGGCGUGGAGGUUCGAAUCCUCUGCAAGACA